CCUUCUCUUCUUGGUGGAGAUAGGGUGUGCGGGUCUGGUCCCUGUAAUAUAAGGAGGCAGAAGGAAAGGUCUCUGGCACCUUCUGCAUCAUGUCUCCAGUGUGAGGGCUUCCAGGCUGCUGGUUGUAUGCCCCAGGGCCCAGAAACUG